rnacentral:sRNA from 1 species
GCCAGGUGUGGUGGUGCACGCCUGUAAUCCCAGCCUCUCAGGAGGCUGAGGCAGGAGGAUGGUGAGUUCAGAGUCAGCUUCAGCAAAAGUGAGGUGCUAAGCAACUCAGUGAGAUCCUGUCUCUA